rnacentral:rRNA from 1 species
UACAGAGGGUACGAGCGUUGUCCGGAAUCACUGGGCGUAAAGGGCGCGUAGGCGGCUUGAUAAGCGUGCGGUGAAAGCCCGGGGCUCAACCCCGGGUCGGCCGUGCGAACUGUCGAGCUGGAGCACUGUAGAGGCAGGUGGAAUUCCGGGUGUAGCGGUGGAAUGCGUAGAGAUCCGGAGGAACACCAGUGGCGAAGGCGGCUGGCUGGACCUGACCUGACGCUGAGGCGCGAAGGCGUGGGGAGCGAACGGG